AGCCUCUUCCCAGACAGGCAGAUAGGAACUUCCAGGAUGCUGGCAGCCCGCACAGGCGCUGCAGGGAGUCAGAUCUCCGAAGACAACAGCAAGUUCAGAAAGCAGUCUGGCCUUUCUUCAGGGGGGAAAGACAAAUCUCCCAAGAAAGCCCCCGAGAAUGCCAAAGACAGCAGCCUCAGCCCAACCGGGCAAAGCCAGCUCAGGGCAAGGCAGCUGGCCCUGCUGCGGGAGGUGGAGAUGACCUGGUACCUAAAGCUCUGCGAGCUGUCGAGCGAGCACACCACGGCACACACCACCGGGAUGCCGCACAGCCUCUCCCAGAUCUUGAUUCUGAUGCUUCACUGAGCAGUUGCCCCUCUCAAGCCUUCAAGCCAAGGCACUUUUAUCAUCCCCACAUUCUACACCUAGCUGGAUUGCUCAGACACCAUGACCAGACAGCAGUGACUCACAGCAAAACACAGGCCGAAUGACAGAGAUGGAAGCCAGAUUCUGCGCACGGGAAGAGGUAGCAGCGCAGAUUCUGUCUACGAGCAUGGUUAAUGGGUCGUAUUUUAGUCUGGACUCUGACUGAGGAGCAGAAGUUCAGCGGCAAAAAAGAAGGAAUGAUUAUUUCAACAAAGAGAACAGCAAGAACAAAAAGGGAACGCAGAUAUGGUGAGAGUGGUGAGGCCAGGGAGACGGGCAGUCACGUGACAGGAGACAAGGCUCCAGGCAUUCCAUUUGUCAAGUGACUCAGCUUUUUAAGCUUCUGCCAUUUCAUCUGAAAUAGUGGUAGUAUUUUCUACCUCUAAAGGCAUCUUAGUUAAACGAGAUGUUGCGUGUUAUGUGAAUAAGACAACACCUGUACAAGAAAGCCAUAAAUAAAUAAAACAACGGACCUCAUGAUACAGGUGAAGGGGGUGGUAAAUGGGGAGGGAGCACACAUUUUGCUCAUGUUCGUUUUAGCUGUUUACGUUAAAAUAUGUUUUUAAAAAGAAACUACUAGGCCUAUCCAGAAUUGGAAAGAAAGAAAAGAGAUGAGGGUCUCCAAACUGAGCCACACCACAUGGGAUUAUGAGGUUCAUAUAGAGACCUCCAAGGAGACUUCAUGAAAAGCAGCAACAGUCACGCAGAGGCCAAGGUUCAAUUAUUACAUACUAGUUGUCCUGAAGGGUUCACCCCUUAAGUCCAUCCCAUGCCUCUGUCUCCUGCCACCCUUUGCUAGUCUCAUCUCUCUGUCCUCCUUGGUGGCUGCUCACUCUUCUCCAGCUCUUCAUUCUCCUGUGGGACAUGGGACAUUCUACUAGCCCAGCCCUAGCCUCUUCUCUGCACCUUUUAGUAUUUUGUCCCCUCUGGCCCCCAGCUCAGCACUUUCUAGCUGUUAUUUCAACCUAUUCUAUUUUUCAAUCCAUGAGACAGUUUUUCUUAACGUGCAUAUCCCUCUGUGAUAGAGCAGAGGACAUGUUCCAUCUCAGUGAAUGCUUGUGUCUAGACUGUAAUAGCCAUUGGUAACAGUGGUAAGGUCUUAUCUUAGGAAGGGUUGAGGACAGUUUUCAAAAUAAAUAGCAAGACUUGUGAUUAAGUGUUCAUCUGCACAAAUUAAAAAUGGUUGCCACAGCAGCACCUGGAAGACAGUGAAGCCAGAGGCAUUUUCUUAUUCUUAACCCCUCUUCUCCACAGCUGAAGAGGCUCUAUCGCUUAGGGUGAGAACGCCUACCUAUAAAUCAAAUGGCCAAAGUGUAAGACUGACUCUAGACUCCUCAGUCUCUACUCUGAAAAGUCAAUAGGCCUUGGAAUCAUUAGUUAGAUGCUCAUGAAACAACCCACCAUGCCCCCCUCAAAUAGGAGUAAUGAAUAUGGUAGGUUUUAAGAAGACAGUACUAUACAAAUAUACAAUUUUUAAGAGAUUGAAUUUGGCUUAUACUAGGGAAGAAACAAACUAGAAAUAAACACUCUAUUUUUAUUAGCUUUACUACCUCUCCAAGAAUCUUCUAGAAGAAAGCUAAAUGUCACUGAAGAAGCUAGAAUAAGACAUGUUGUUUUUGCCAUGUACUAAAAUGGGCCCCUAAGGGUGCAGUCUAUUUUCAAAGGUAGGUUCCAGAACUGGCAGAGGAAGUUGAGA
rnacentral:lncRNA from 1 species